AUUGAACGCUGGCGGAAUGCUUUACACAUGCAAGUCGAACGGCAGCACGGACUUCGGUCUGGUGGCGAGUGGCGAACGGGUGAGUAAUGUAUCGGAACGUGCCCAGUCGUGGGGGAUAACGUAGUGAAAAUUACGCUAAUACCGCAUACGAUCUAUGGAUGAAAGCGGGAGAUCGCAAGACCUCGCGCGAUUGGAGCGGCCGAUAUCAGAUUAGGUAGUUGGUGGGGUAAAGGCCCACCAAGCCAACGAUCUGUAGCUGGUCUGAGAGGACGAACAGCCACACUGGAACUGAGACACGGUCCAGACUCCUACGGGAGGCAGCAGUGGGGAAUUUUGGACAAUGGGCGAAAGCCAGAUCCAGCCAUUCCGCGUGCAGGAUGAAGGCCCUCGGGUUGUAAUCUGCUUUUGUACAGAACGAAAAGGUUUCUACUAAUACUAGGAGCUCAUGACGGUACUGUAAGAAUAAGCACCGGCUAACUACGUGCCAGCCGCCGCAGUAA
rnacentral:rRNA from 1 species